UAUUAAAAAAUUUAUUUAUUUUUACUGUUAAAAAUUGUCGUGGUUGACAAAAUUAUCAAACAAUAGUAUAUGGCAUACCACAUAUACCUCGUUCUAAUGUAUAGGAACCAAUUUUUAAUAGUAAAAAUAAUGAAAUUUUUAAUA
rfam:Gossypium hirsutum cultivar TM-1 chromosome 10, whole genome shotgun sequence